rnacentral:lncRNA from 1 species
UUUUCGGUUUCUUUUUUUAACAUGCCCAUUCUACACUGGUUUUUUAUCAUUGGCUAUACACAAUUUGUAUACACGUUAUUCAGUCGCCUAAUAUUGUGUAGUAAGAAUUUUAAUGUUGACCAUUGUUUUAUUUCCCGUUCACCCCCUAAUGUUAAAUUUGUUGCUGCGCGCCAGCGACUAAAAGUAAUUUUUUUAGCUCCAGUACCAAAUAAAACAUUUUAAUUCUUACUCGUCUACUACAUUUUUAUUCUGGAGGCACUGUCAGAUAGAGUUAAUUAUUUUCCGCAAAGUUUCAUUCAAUAGAUAAUAAUUAUUAUAACAAUUGUUGCGUAUGAUUAUGUCACUUGCUUUAAUGAUAUAAUAUUCGAAUCACACAUACAUAUCGUACGUGUACAUAAUGCAUAUAAUGGUAGGAAACAAAUUAGUUUCUCUCCAGUAACUCACAUCUCCAGUGUCCAAUCAAUUCAAGUUUCAUCGAAGAUAAAUCUGUAAAUUUUUAAAUAUAAAUACAAAAUCUUGACCAUGAAAAUAAUGCCUGGAUUUGAUGUGUCCAAUCAGCAUCAUCGAAUGAUUGCUGCGCCUCUAGAUUUUUUAAACUUCAUGAUAAAUCUAUAGAAGAUCUUGUUCGAACUUAUACUCUAGUAUCCUAUAUUAUAGUAGCCUUCAUUGUCCUUAUUGUAUUCUGUAUGUUUUACUAUUAUCAACAAAAGAUAGUUUCGGCACUCAUGAAAGGUCGUAUACGGCGUGGUAAAACGAUUGGACCCCCAUACCAAAAAAUGGAUAGUCAAUUGGAGGAUUAUCCAAAUGAGAUUAUUCCUAGUUGGAGAUUUAAAGAUUUAUUUAUCUAGAUAUUUAUUUCCAGUUGUAUUGUUUAGUUUCCAUAUCAUUAGACCAAAAAAUAUAUAAAUUUUAUAUCUAA